CACGGGUACUUCGACAUCCCUCUGAAACUCCUGAUAACGAUGGAGCCUCCUUCGGGACAGAGGUGACAGGGGGUGCAUGGUUGUCCUCAGCUCGUGUCGUGAGAUGUUGGGUUAAGUCCCGCAACGAGCGCAACCCUUGCUGUUAGUUGCCAUCAUUAAGUUGGGCACUCUAACGGGACUGCCGGGGAUAACUCGGAGGAAGGUGGGGAUGACGUCAAAUCAUCAUGCCCCUUAUGUUCUGGGCUACACACGUGCUACAAUGGUCGGUACAAAGAGCAGCAAGACCGUGAGGUGGAGCAAAUCUCAAAAACCGAUCCCAGUUCGGAUUGUAGGCUGCAACUCGCCUACAUGAAGUUGGAGUUGCUAGUAAUCGCGGAUCAGAAUGCCGCGGUGAAUGCGUUCCCGGGUCUUGUACACACCGA
rnacentral:rRNA from 1 species